GAGCUCUGUGGGCCCCAGGUGCCCCGGGAAAACUUGGGGGAGAAUGGGCAUCCCACCCCAGCACUUUCUAGGAAGAAGGGCAGCAUUUUGAAGGGCUGGAAGUAGAGGAAGGAGGUUGCGGGUAGAAGACUCCAUACUUUCUGUGACGCCUAUUCCUUAGGUAGGAACUUAGGAACCUCAGGAAUCAAGGCUAUCUGUAAUCACAGGGCUAUUUGAAAAAGAGAAGAAAAGGUGUCUUGAAAUUCAACCAACAUGUUUCAAUUAUUUGCUCCUAAGAACAACAGAAGUUUCAACAUUCUGCCAACAGAGUAACUCCUGGAAGAUUGGCACAGAAGAAGGCACAAGGAGAGCCUUUAUAUAACCAAAGAUAUUUUUGGACCAUGAAUUCAGAAAUUCUCGGAGCCACCCAUCAGUGCCUGAGCUUCAGUGAGUCCAUAUCCCAUGUCACCCACGGCAAAGGAGACUCUAAGACUUCUGAAGAGUUUCUUGCUUCUUUCCUGUGGGGCAGUGACUCCACUUCCCAGCAGUAAUGGAAUAUCCUGAAUUAGCUACAUUAAUGUUAGAACCAUUUGGACCUCACCCAGGACUUCAACUACAUUAUGCUAAAGUUACAGAACCCAAAUUUGGCAACUGUCUGCAUCUGAACAACAGAAGUUUCAACAUUCUGCCAACAGAGUAACUCCUGGACGAUUGGCACAGAAGAAGGCACAAGGCAAAUACCCAUCUCUGUACACCCUGUGCUACUGUGUCAUGUGCUGCUCC
rnacentral:lncRNA from 1 species